rnacentral:rRNA from 1 species
UACAGAGGUCUCAAGCGUUGUUCGGAUUCAUUGGGCGUAAAGGGUGCGUAGGCGGCGCGGUAAGUCGGGUGUGAAAUCUCGGAGCUUAACUCCGAAACUGCAUUCGAUACUGCCGUGCUUGAGGACUGGAGAGGAGACUGGAAUUUACGGUGUAGCGGUGAAAUGCGUAGAUAUCGGGAGGAAUACCAGCGGCGAAGGCGGCCUUCUGGACGGUGACUGACGCUGAGACGCGAAAGCGUGGGGAGCAAACAGG